rnacentral:siRNA from 1 species
GAGCCCUUCUCUCCUGUGUCC